UACGUAGGGUGCGAGCGUUGUCCGGAAUUAUUGGGCGUAAAGAGCUCAUAGGCGGUGUGUCACGUCGGCCGUGAAAACCUGCAGCUUAACUGUGGGCGUGCGGUCGAUACGGGCAUCACUGGAGUUCGGCAGGGGAGACUGGAAUUCCUGGUGUAGCGGUGAAAUGCGCAGAUAUCAGGAGGAACACCGGUGGCGAAGGCGGGUCUCUGGGCCGAUACUGACGCUGAGGAGCGAAAGCGUGGGGAGCAAACAAG
rnacentral:rRNA from 1 species